rnacentral:rRNA from 1 species
AGCCMCUAGAAGAUAUUUUUGGUYUAACCUGCCCAAUGUUAUAAUAAUGCGAGAAUUAAUGGCCGCGGUACCCUGACCGUGCUAAGGUAGCGUAAUAAGUUGGCUUUUAAAUGGAGUCAGGUAUGAAUGGAUUAACUGGGUUUAGCUGUCUCAUAGAUAUUAUAUUGAAUUUACUGUUCAAGUGAAAAAGCUUGAGUUUCAAAAAGGGACGAGAAGACCCUUAAAAUUUUAAUUAAAAGUAGUUGUUAAUUGCUGCAAUUUUGUUGGGGCGACAUAGAAAUAUUUAAAACUUUCUGUAAUUUUAUAAGCCGAAUUUUUUAAGUUAGGAUAAAUUACUUAAGGGAUAACAGCAUAAUUCUAAAGUUGAGUUUGUGACCUCGAUGUUGGACUAGGAAGCUAGCAGGUUAGAUGCCUGUUGUGCAGAUUCUGUUCGAAUUUUAACUCCU